rnacentral:rRNA from 1 species
GAUGAACGCUGGCGGCGUGCCUAAUACAUGCAAGUCGAGCGAACGGACGAGAAGCUUGCUUCUCUGAUGUUAGCGGCGGACGGGUGAGUAACACGUGGAUAACCUACCUAUAAGACUGGGAUAACUUCGGGAAACCGUAGCUAAUACCGGAUAAUAUUUUGAACCGCAUUGUUCAAAAGUGAAAGACGGUCUUGCUGUCACUUAUAGAUGGAUCCGCGCUGCAUUAGCUAGUUGGUAAGGUAACGGCUUACCAAGGCAACGAUGCAUAGCCGACCUGAGAGGGAGAUCGGCCACACUGGAACUGAGACACGGUCCAGACUCCUACGGGAGGAAGCAGUAGGGAAUCUUCCGCAAUGGGCGAAAGCCGGACGGAGCAACGCCGCGUGAGUGAUGAAGGUCUUCGGAUCGUAAAACUCUGUUAUUAGGGAAGAACAUAUGUGUAAGUAACUGUGCACAUAUUGACGGUACCUAAUCAGAAAGACACGGCUAACUACGUG